GCAGCAGCCGCGGGAAUACGUAGGUCCCGAGCGUUGUCCGGAUUUAUUGGGCGUAAAGCGAGCGCAGGCGGUUAGAUAAGUCUGAAGUUAAAGGCUGUGGCUUAACCAUAGUACGCUUUGGAAACUGUUUAACUUGAGUGCAAGAGGGGAGAGUGGAAUUCCAUGUGUAGCGGUGAAAUGCGUAGAUAUAUGGAGGAACACCAGUGGCGAAGGCGACUCUCUGGUCUGUAACUGACGCUGAGGCUCGAAAGCGUGGGUAGCAAACAGGAUUAGAUACCCCCGUAGUCCCUGUCUCUUAUACA
rnacentral:rRNA from 1 species